UUACGACCACAUCAUAUUGAAACACCGGUUUCCGUACGAUUACAGAAGCUAAGCAACGUCGGAACUGGUUAGUACUUAGAUGGGUGACUGCUUGGGAAGAUCAAAUACUGUAA